rnacentral:tRNA from 1 species
GGGGAUUUAGCUCAGUGGUAGAGCGCUUGCCUAGGAAGCGCAAGGCCUUGGGUUCGAUCCCCAGCUCUG